rnacentral:rRNA from 1 species
GAUGAACGCUGGCGGCAUGCCUUACACAUGCAAGUCGAACGGUAACAGGUCUUCGGAUGCUGACGAGUGGCGAACGGGUGAGUAAUACAUCGGAACGUGCCCGAUCGUGGGGGAUAACGCAGCGAAAGCUGUGCUAAUACCGCAUACGAUCUACGGAUGAAAGCGGGGGAUCGCAAGACCUCGCGCGGACGGAGCGGCCGAUGGCAGAUUAGGUAGUUGGUGGGGUAAAGGCUCACCAAGCCUGCGAUCUGUAGCUGGUCUGAGAGGACGACCAGCCACACUGGGACUGAGACACGGCCCAGACUCCUACGGGAGGCAGCAGUGGGGAAUUUUGGACAAUGGGCGCAAGCCUGAUCCAGCCAUGCCGCGUGCAGGAUGAAGGCCUUCGGGUUGUAAACUGCUUUUGUACGGAACGAAAAGGUUCUUUCUAAUAAAGAGAGCCCAUGACGGUACCGUAAGAAUAAGCACCGGCUAACUACGUGCCAGCCGCCGCGGUAA